GAGCGGGGGACAGACCAAGGCCUGAAAAAAAACACCUGAGUCUCAUUCGCUCUCCGCCCCUUUUCCAAACCCUAGUGCAACGAUUCCUCGUCUUUUUUACAGCUCAACCUUUCAAAUUAUCCACUUUCCACACUCUUCUCCACUCUUCUUUCAUCUCACACUUCACCAAUCCAACAAUACGCCAUUUCAAUUCACUGCUUCAAAUUUCUCUAACUUUUCGAUUCGAAGCUGUGUUUGCUGCUGAAAGAAUUGGAAAGGAAUUAGCUUCUUGAUUGAAGAAGGAAAAGGGGAUUUGGGAUUUUAAUUUACCAAUUUAACCCCUUUGAUCUCGAAGAGGAAGAAUCCUCGUAUCCAUGCCAAAGUUAAUGGUUCACCUUCUCAUGAAACAUUGACCCAUGGAUCCUGAAAGCAAGAAGUUUGAAAGAGGACCAAGAGAGCUGACUGGUGCUGUUGAUCUUAUAAGUCAUUACAAGUUGUUGCCUCACCAUGAGUUCUUCUGCAAGCGAUCACUUCCUUUGUCAAUUUCUGACACUCAUUAUCUUUACAAUGUGGUGGGAGACACUGAAAUCAGAAAAGGAGAAGGCAUGCAAUUGGAUCAGCUCAUCCAGAAUACUUCCUAUUCCAGAGAUAGCAAUACAUGCAUACAGCCAUUUGACCUAGAUGUGCUCCAAGAGGCCUUCCAAUUUAAGGAAACCACCCCUAUAGAUUUGCCUCCUGCAGAGAAGGGGACUCCUACAAUUGCUGCAAAAUCAAAAAGUGAGUCCAAAGACAAGGAGAGGAAGCAUAAAAAGCACAAAGACAAAGAUAAGGAGAAGGAUAAAGAGCAUAAGAAGCACAAACACCGUCAUAAAGAUAAAGAUCGAAGUAAAGAUAAAGAUAAGGAGAAGAAGAAGGAGAGGAGUGGACAUCACGAUUCUGGUGGUGAUCACUCUAAGAAACACCAUGAAAAGGUUGGAAGUCAUUGCUUUCUUGUAGCUACUGCAUGAACACAUUUUAAAAUUUGUGGUAAAUGGGAAAAGGACAAAAUUUUUGGACUACCUUUCUUUUAUACUUCUUAUGACGUAAAUGGUAAACUAGUAAGCUUAUAAUUUGCCCAAGAACUCUUACUUCCUCUCAAACUCUAAAUGGGGCAAUUUUAUGUUGGCUAAUGGAAAUAAACAAUUGUUCUGGUUGCAUGGAGUGGACUGUUGUUGAUGUAAUUUUUACUGUGCAAGUAUUAUGAAACACCGUGUUUUCCCCACUUAUUUUAAAUUUUAUUUAAUUUCAAUGCGGUGCCAAUAUGUAUCUUUGGACUUCUUAUGAUUUCAGAAAAGAAAGCAUGAUGGAGAUGAAUAUGUUAAUGAUGGUCACAAGCACAAAAAAAGUAAGGUAAUUAAUUUGAUUUUUGGGUUAUUUUCCCGCAUGUUCAGUUUCCAUUCAUACGAGUUAUUUUAAUAUGACGCCUUUCAUUCAUUGGCUCCUGCGGCAUAAGCCCUCACUUCUGCUUUUUUCUUUUAAUUUUUCCUGCAGCAUAAGAGCUCAAAAAUUGAUGAGAUUGGUGCCAUAAAGGUAGCUGGCUGAAGUGAUUGGCAUAAUAUUGUUCAUUUUUUGUUUGAGUUGUUGAUAGUUUGGAAGGGAUUUUCACUUAAGGUAGACAAAUUAUUUGAGGUAAACACCAUACUUGCCCUUUGCAAUUUUAGCUCUGCUUUUCAUUUGCUUUAUUCUUUCUGGAUCAAAUGUGUAAAUUUACAGAAAACUAACAAAAUAUAUAUUUUCCUCAGUAACCUAGCUAUAUUGUUAAAGGCAAAUUUAUUUAUCAUCCUUCUGUCCAUAUGUUGCCUUCUCCUUUGUGGCCUCUAGUUUUAAACAGCUUUUUCUAGGUGAAAAGAAAAGAUGAUAUCUCUGCUUUCCUCAAUAGCCUAGCUAUAUUGAUAAAACCAAAUUUAUUUAGCCUCCUUGUGUCCAUAGGUUGCUUCCUCCUUUGCGCCCUUUAGUUUUAAAUGGCUUUUUCUAGCUAAAAAGAAAGAUGUGUUAUUUUAGCCUUUUUAUCAUCUUUUGUUAUGAAAUUGAAUUGGAUAAAGUUUUUACAUUUGUACAUUGAAUUGUUUGACUUAGCAUCCUUCAGACUACGCCCUGUAGGUUUUUACUUGCCAAACUGAGGUUAAUGUGACAUUUAGUUGUCCCAUUACAUUUAAUUAAAUCUUCAAAUUCAAACGCUGAAGGCUAUAUACAUUUUUGUAAUCUUAGGAGGAGGAAUGAUACAUCUCACUGGCAAAAAAAUAUAGAUAAACUUUUAAGAAUGAAGAUGAAGUUCUCUUACAUUUCAAACUGUGGUAGCUCUUGAAUUUAACCAAACCUCAGGAAGAUAAAGGGUCACAUUAAAAAGCACAAGCUGACCAAGUGUAAACGGGCCUACAACAAGUUUAUGGAUUUCUAUAUAAUUUCCUCAAAUUUAUUUUUUUACUGUCACUGCACACUGUGAUUUUUUAUUAAUUAUUUGAAGUAAGAGCUUCUUUCCUUGGGCAUUAUCUAAAAGAUAUGGUUUAGGGGUUAGGCCCUGUGGAAAUUGCCUCAAUUGGUUUAUGCUUUGCUCUAUGUUAUCCAAGAAGAAUAGCCUUUCUAUGAUAUAAAAGAUUGUAAAGAAUUUGCUUUUGCUUGUCUCGACAUACUUUUAUCUUCUUAAUCAAUUUAUUAAAAUCAGCAGUUGUGAAUCUUUAUUAUUACCAUUAAGAGUCUCCUGAUGGGUUGUUUCUUGUUUUUAUGCAGAAUAGGUUCUGAACUGACUGAAAAUUGUGAAGAUGGUGAAUUCACCUGACACAGGAAAAUUUGGAUGCAGGGUAAAAAUAGCUGAAAAUGAACUUUGUAUCAUAACAAUUAUAUAAUUGCUGGUAAUACGCUAAACUUCAAUCCUUUCUUCCCAGUUUUUAUGGUGCCUUGAACAUUUUAGUGUGUAUACAUUAUUGUAAUCUUUUAUCCUUUUUGGAGUAGUCCCAAAGCCUAGUCUCAUAAUUAGUUUCAACUAGAAUCUGUAGUGUUGAAUUGUAGGGAGAUCAGGUUUGAGAAAAGAGGAUUUUGUAAAUUAAUUCCUUUCUGCCUCAUUAUUAUGGCAAUGACCAACAUAAAUUUAGUUCCUCGAAAAGGAGAGCCUGG
rnacentral:misc_RNA from 1 species